UCCGAAGGGGGCUAGCGUUGCUCGGAAUCACUGGGCGUAAAGCGCACGUAGGCGGCCUCUUAAGUCGGGGGUGAAAUCCUGGAGCUCAACUCCAGAACUGCCUUCGAUACUGAGAGUCUUUGAGUCCGGGAGAGGUGAGUGGAACUGCGAGUGUAGAGGUGAAAUUCGUAGAUAUUCGCAAGAACACCAGUGGCGAAGGCGGCUCACUGGCCCGGUACUGACGCUGAGGUGCGAAAGCGUGGGGAGCAAACAGG
rnacentral:rRNA from 1 species